rnacentral:ncRNA from 1 species
AAUAAAAUGAAAAGACCCUAUGGAGCUUUAUUUCAUUAAUGCAAAUAGAAACUCGCCCUAACCCAUACCACUGCAUUAAAAUUUUUGGCUGGGGUCUCAGAGCAUAAUUCAACCUCUGAACAACCUAAACUAAGACUGCACUAGUCUAAGCAAGUCAACAUAUAUUGACCCAAUAAUUUAAUCAAUGGAAUAAGUUACCCUAGGGAUAACAGCGCAAUCCUAUUCUAGAGUCCACAUUGACAAUAGGGAUUACAACCUUGAUGUUGGAUCAGGCUAUCCUAAUGGUGUAGCUGCUAUUAAGAGUUUGUUUGUUCAACAAUAAAGUCUACGUGAUCUGAGUUCAGACUGGAAUAAUACAGGUCGGUUUCUAUCUAUU